rnacentral:rRNA from 1 species
AUUGAACGCUGGCGGCAUGCCUUACACAUGCAAGUCGAACGGCAGCACGGGAGCAAUCCUGGUGGCGAGUGGCGAACGGGUGAGUAAAGUAUCGGAACGUGCCCAGUCGUGGGGGAUAACGUAGCGAAAGUUACGCUAAUACCGCAUACGAUCUAUGGAUGAAAGCGGGGGAUCGCAAGACCUCGCGCGAUUGGAGCGGCCGAUAUAAGAUUAGGUAGUUGGUGGGGUAAAGGCUCACCAAGCCGACGAUCUGUAGCUGGUUUGGGAGGACGACCAGCCACACUGGGACUGAGACACGGCCCAGACUCCUACGGGAGGCAGCAGUGGGGAAUUUUGGACAAUGGGCGAAAGCCUGAUCCAGCCAUGCCGCGUGCAGGAUGAAGGCCUUCGGGUUGUAAACUGCUGUUGUACGGAACGAAGAGGUUUGGGCUAAUAAGCUGAGCUCAUGACGGUACCGUAAGAAUAAGCACCGGCUAACUACGUGCCAGCAGCCGCAGUAA